rnacentral:rRNA from 1 species
AUUGAACGCUGGCGGCAGGCUUAACACAUGCAAGUCGAGCGGGGAAGGUUGCUUCGGUAACUGACCUAGCGGCGGACGGGUGAGUAAUGCUUAGGAAUCUGCCUAUUAGUGGGGGACAACGUUUCGAAAGGAACGCUAAUACCGCAUACGUCCUACGGGAGAAAGCAGGGGAUCUUUGGACCUUGCGCUAAUAGAUGAGCCUAAGUCGGAUUAGCUAGUUGGUGGGGUAAAGGCCUACCAAGGCGACGAUCUGUAGCGGGUCUGAGAGGAUGAUCCGCCACACUGGGACUGAGACACGGCCCAGACUCCUACGGGAGGCAGCAGUGGGGAAUAUUGGACAAUGGGCGGAAGCCUGAUCCGGCCAUGCCGCGUGUGUGAAGAAGGCCUUUUGGUUGUAAAGCACUUUAAGCGAGGAGGAGGAGCUUCAGGUUAAUACCCUGGAUGCUUGGACGUUACUCGCAAAAUACGCACCGGCUAACUCUGUG